rnacentral:rRNA from 1 species
GACGAACGCUGGCGGCGUGCUUAACACAUGCAAGUCGAACGGUGAAGGGACUGGUUUUGCUGGUCCUGGAUGAGUGGCGACCGGGUGAGUAACACGUGAGUAACCUGCCCCCUUCUUCUGGAUAACCGCAUGAAAGUGUGGCUAAUACGGGAUAUUCUGGGUCUGUCGCAUGGUGGGCCUGGGAAAGAUUGCGCCUUUUUUGGUGUUUUUGGUGGGGGAUGGGCUCGCGGCCUAUCAGCUUGUUGGUGGGGUGAUGGCCUACCAAGGCGGUGACGGGUAGCCGGCCUGAGAGGGUGGACGGUCACACUGGGACUGAGACACGGCCCAGACUCCUACGGGAGGCUGCAGUGGGGAAUAUUGCACAAUGGGCGCAAGCCUGAUGCAGCGACGCCGCGUGAGGGAUGGAGGCCUUCGGGUUGUGAACCUCUUUCGCCAGUGAAGCAGGCCUGCCUCUUUUUGUGGGUGGGUUGACGGUAGCUGGAUAAGAAGCGCCGGCUAACUACGUG